rnacentral:rRNA from 1 species
GCAAGUCGAGCGAGAAAGUAUCUUCGGAUAUGAGUAGAGCGGCGGACGGGUGAGUCACGCGUAGGAAUCUACCUAGUAGAAGGGGAUAGCCCGGGGAAACCCGGAUUAAUACCGUAUACUUCCUCUGGGAGAAUGAAGGCCUCUCUUUAGAAGCUUUCGCUACUAGAUGAGCCUGCGUAAGAUUAGCUUGUUGGUGAGGUAAAGGCUCACCAAGGCGACGAUCUUUAGCUGGUCUGAGAGGACGAUC